AUUUAACACAAUUUUAACAAAGCUGUCUUGCUUGUGUCCUCUUCCAAAUGGUAAUAGGAAAACUACAUAGAAGCCAAGAGAAAAAUUUAUAAUAGAACAGGUUAGAGGGCUAAAGGACCGAACCAGAAAAUUGUGAAUUUUGAGGUAUGUUUUCCCCCUGGACCUAAAAUAAUAAAACUUAUACAAGUUGCAGUAAUGAAGUUUGAGAAUUAUCUUCAGUUUUAAUUCUUUUUUCUCACUGCAGUACAGUUUUGUUUUCUGAUAAUAGUGACAUGAUUUGAGAGGUCAGCAGGAAGUUGUUUUAAAUCUUUUUUGUUUUCUCCUUGUUAGUGUGAACAUGAUUCUACUCUCCUUAAUCCUUUUGGGAGAAGAAGAAGGGAGCUGGCAGCACCCAGGGAAUUUCAAGGUGGCAUCAGGGAACUCUUUUUCACCAAAACAAAAGAAGGCAUAAAAAUAUCCUGCCUGUAAGAAGAUGAUGAAUUUGUUACUUUUCCUCAGUAUGAGAUGGUGAAACUGAGGCCCAACCAGCUUAAGUGACUUGCCUUGCUUCACACAGGCAAUGAGAUUCAGAGUUAGAAGAGGAACCCAGAUACUCUAAUGCAUGCUGGUGUUCUGGUAUGGGGCUUAAUAAGAGUUGAGAAAUGGACAAUUGCCCAGAAAAGGGCCAAAAGAUUGCACUGAAUGGUGGAAAAGAACAUGAGGUUGAGGUUCUGGAGGUGCUAAUUGUCCCCUCAUCUCUUCUUCCUGAAUUGAUGAGAAAACCGAAGCUAAGUGAGACAACGUAUACAAAAGUACUUUGA
rnacentral:lncRNA from 1 species